rnacentral:tRNA from 1 species
GCCGAGGUCGCUCGAACCCACGUACGAGGCCUGAAUCAGCUUCCCAAGCUGAAUACGCGGGUUCGAUUCCCGUCAUCGGCUCCA